AAAUUGAAGAGUUUGAUCAUGGCUCAGAUUGAACGUUGGCGGCAGGCCUUAUACAUGCAAGUCGAACGGUAACAGCAGAGCUUGCUCUGGCUGACGAGUGGCGGACGGGUGAGUAACGCGUAGGAAUCUACCCAGUAGCGGGGGAUAGCCCGGGGAAACCCGGAAUAAUACCGCAUACGCCCUACGGGGCAAAGGGGGCCUCUUCUUGAAAGCUCUCACUAUUGGAGGAGCCUGCGUUGGAUUAGCUAGUUGGUGAGGUAAUGGCUCACCAAGGCUACGAUCCAUAGCUGGUCUGAGAGGACGAUCAGCCACACUGGAACUGAGACACGGUCCAGACUUCUACGGAAGGCAGCAGUCGGGAAUAUUGUCCAAUGGGGGAAACCCUGAGACAGCCAUGCCGCGUGUGUGAAGAAGGCCUUAGGGUUGUAAAGCACUUUCAGUAGGGAGGAAUUAGCGCGAUUAAUACUCGCGUCAAGUGACGUUACCUACACAAGAAGAUCCGGCUAACUCCGUGCCAGCAGCCGCGGUAAUACGGAGGGAUCGAACGUUAAUCGGAAUUACUGGGCGUAAAGCGCGCGUAGGCGGUCUGUUAAGUGGGAUGUGAAAGCCCCGGGCUUAACCUGGGAAUUGCAUUCCAAACUAAUAGACUAGAGUACGAUAGAGGGGGGUAGAAUUCAGAGUGUAGCGGUGAAAUGCGUAGAUAUUCUGAGGAAUACCGGUGGC
rnacentral:rRNA from 1 species